GGCCCCGUCGUCUAGCGGCCAAGGACAUCGCCCUCUCAAGGCGAAGACACGGAUUCGAAUUCCGUCGGGGCCACCA
rnacentral:tRNA from 2 species